GAGUAGGGCGGGACACGUGUUAUCCUGUCUGAAUAUGGGGGGACCAUCCUCCAAGGCUAAAUACUCCUGACUGACCGAUAGUGAACCAGUACCGUGAGGGAAAGGCGAAAAGAACCCCUGUGAGGGGAGUGAAAUAGAACCUGAAACCGUGUACGUACAAGCAGUAGGAGCACCUUCGUGGUGUGACUGCGUACCUUUUGUAUAAUGGGUCAGCGACUUAUAUUCAGUGGCAAGGUUAACCAUCUAGGGGAGCCGUAGGGAAACCGAGUCUUAACUGGGCGCCAUAGUCUCUGGAUAUAGACCCGAAACCGAGUGAUCUAGCCAUGGGCAGGUUGAAGGUUGAGUAACAUCAACUGGAGGACCGAACCGACUAAUGUUGAAAAAUUAGCGGAUGACUUGUGGCUAGGGGUGAAAGGCCAAUCAAACUCGGAGAUAGCUGGUUCUCCCCGAAAGCUAUUUAGGUAGCGCCUCGGACGAAUACUACUGGGGGUAGAGCACUGUUAAGGCUAGGGGGUCAUCCCGACUUACCAACCCUUUGCAAACUCCGAAUACCAGUAAGUACUAUCCGGGAGACACACGGCGGGUGCUAACGUCCGUCGUGGAGAGGGAAACAACCCAGACCGCCAGCUAAGGUCCCAAAUUACAGCUAAGUGGGAAACGAUGUGGGAAGGCUUAGACAGCUAGGAUGUUGGCUUAGAAGCAGCCAUCAUUUAAAGAAAGCGUAAUAGCUCACUAGUCGAGUCGGCCUGCGCGGAAGAUGUAACGGGGCUAAGUUGUAAACCGAAGCUGCGGCAAUGUUCUUUGAACAUUGGGUAGGGGAGCGUUCUGUAAGCCGUUGAAGGUGUGUUGUAAAGCAUGCUGGAGGUAUCAGAAGUGCGAAUGCUGACAUGAGUAACGACAAGGGGGGUGAAAAACCUCCCCGCCGGAAGACCAAGGGUUCCUGUCCAACGUUAAUCGGGGCAGGGUAAGUCGACCCCUAAGGCGAGGCCGAAAGGCGUAGUCGAUGGGAAACGGGUUAAUAUUCCCGUACUUCUUACAAUUGCGAUGGGGGGACGGAGAAGGCUAGGUGGGCCUGGCGACGGUUGUCCAGGUUCAAGUGCGUAGGCUGAGUGUUUAGGUAAAUCCGGA
rnacentral:rRNA from 1 species